AACGCAUCUUGCGCUCCUUGGUAUUCCUUGGAGCAUGCCUGUUUGAGUAUCAUGAGCAAAUCUCAAAGUCAAUUCCUUUUGUUAAUCCAAUUGGUUUUGCUUUGGACUUGGAGGUCUUGCAGAUUUCACAGUCUGCUCCUCUUAAAUGCAUUAGCUGGAUCUCAGUAAUUAUGCUUGGUUCCACUCGGCGUGAUAAGUAUCACUCGCUGAGGACACUGCUGAAAAGGUGGCCAGGAAAAUACUGAUUGAACCGCUUCUAACGGUCUAUUAAGUUAGACAAUUGACCCCUUAAGUUUGAUCUCAAAUCAGGUAGGACUACCCGCUGAACUUAA
rnacentral:misc_RNA from 1 species